rnacentral:rRNA from 1 species
GAACGCUGGCGGCGUGCCUAAUACAUGCAAGUCGAGCGAACAGAUAAGGAGCUUUCUCCUUUGACGUUAGCGGCGGACGGGGGAGGAACACGUGGGUAACCUACCUAUAAGACUGGGGUAACUUCGGGAAACCGGAGCUAAUACCGGGUAAUAUUUCGAACCGCAUGGUUCGAUAGUGAAAGAUGGUUUUGCUUUCCCUUAUAGAUGGACCCGCGCCGUAUUAGCUAGUUGGUAAGGUAACGGCUUACCAAGGCGACGAUACGUAGCCGACCUGAGAGGGUGAUCGGCCACACUGGAACUGAGACACGGUCCAGACUCCUACGGGAGGCAGCAGUAGGGAAUCUUCCGCAAUGGGCGAAAGCCUGACGGAGCAACGCCGCGUGAGUGAUGAAGGUCUUCGGAUCGUAAAACUCUGUUAUUAGGGAAGAACAUACGUGUAAGUAACUGUGCACGUCUUGACGGUACCUAAUCAGAAAGCCACGGCUAACUACGUG